rnacentral:lncRNA from 1 species
GGUCGAGGAGUUGAACUCCAUCCUGUGGGCUUAUCGGACAACCCCUCGUGUUCCGACCGGGGAGUCACCUUUCAGUUUAGCCUAUGGGACAGAGGCAAUGAUACCGCUCGAGAUCGGGCUGCCAUCAACUAGGGUCGAGCAGUAUCAAGAGCCGAACAACUCUGAGUGCCGGAGAGCCAACCUAGACCUCCUCCCCGAGCUUCGGAGCGAGGCUCAACUUCGCAUGGCUUCUUACCAAC